UGAGGAGGAAGAGGAGGGACAAGGGAGGGAUUAUGAAACAUAAGGCAGCCAAAGGUGAAACAAUACACUGAGGAACUGUUAAGAUAAUCACUUCUUGGUGUUUCGGUGAGAUUUUCACAGAGAAUAAUAGAAAAAAAUUGAAGAAGAAAAACAAAUGCUGUCCAGAUUCAAUUUUGUAAACCGUGAAAUUACAAGUGGGAAUUAUCUUUGAAUUCUGAAAAUUGUGUGAAGUCUGAAGAGUCAAAAAGAGAAAAUGUGAUGAAUUUUCAAAAGGGAUCUGGAGACUGACUAUUUGGUUAAUAGGUAGGUUCCAGAGAACUGAAGCAGAAAGAAAACAUAUUUAAACAAUCUUUAAAAAUAUUUUGAGGAUUUGGAUAAAGACAAAGGUACAGAGAGGGAAGGAAAUUAAGCAUGUUUCUUUCUGCUCUGUUAUACCAAAUUAACAGCUGCCCAUAUGAUUCACACCUGAGCAAACUCUGCUCCUGUUUAAACCAAAAAAACAUUCUUCCAGGUUCCCAGGUACAAAGAACAGCUAUGUAACUAUAAUCACGUUGCAACUGACUGUCUUUCCCAUGCCUUCUAAGCUAGAAAAGUUGAGGAUCUCAUCUUCAGAACCCAAAACGAAGUGAUCCCUGAUUCAAGAAGUCAACACUCAGUCAACAACUCAUCUCCAUGCUCGGGUGAAGGACAGAUAUUUUGGAAUUUGUGUGGGAGGGAAAACUGUGGUUGUAAUGUAAAAUGAAAUUAAAAAAAAAAAAAGAAUGGCAAGAAAACCUCAGAAAUAAACUAGUCAGGAAUUUCUUACUACAAAAUCUUCUCAGGGGUCCAUGCAAAAAUCUCUUACCUCCCAUACUUCUUACUUAAUGAAGCACACAGGCUGUUAACCCCAACCUAUUUUAAAACUAAUUUUCCUUGUAGGUAAUGAUCACAUACUUCUAGGAAUUAGAUGUGGUAGGAGUUUCGCUGUAUUUAAUCUCAUAUGGUUUCAGGCUUAGCCUAUGUACUGAGAGCUUAGAAGUGAAGUAGUUGUUGCUGCUCAAUUUUAUCCUAGGUACAGCCUAGUCAGAUGUUUAGGGGCCAUGAUCUCUUGAUCACGUGGUUAAGUCCUAGGGCUAUGUGCAUAUUGUGUGAGAUUCGCAGCAGAUUCCUUGCUUUAAACAGUGGUGGGGUCAAUGUUAUUUGUAAGCAGACACAUGACUAAUUCACAUAAUGCAUGAUGCAUGAAAGUGGGCAGUGUUGUAAAAGAAGACCUACACAUGAAAACUGGCUUCAGGAAGCCAGGGGUCACUGCAGAGUGGAAAGUUGACUUGCCUUGUAGUAAUUAGACAUUUAUUCUGUUUGACUUACAAUGUGCUUUGGGUGAAAAUUACUGGCCUUAUGAGGUAAAUGUUGAGAAAAGCUCAGGAUUUGGGGGUAUUUUGUGACUGAAGGAAUGGAGGGAAUGACCAUUGUGAACAUAUGAAUGGAUGGGAUUGGGGGAGACAUUGCACAGAAGAAUGGAGGGUCACAGAGGCUGUGCAAACUUCCUUCAAAAGGUAGUGUCCUUGUUACGACAUAUGACACACAUGAGCAAGGACCACAGAUGCUUCAGGUAUCAUAAAACAAUCGAUUGCCAUAUUGUGAAAACAAAACUAUAUCUUAUAUUAGAUAUUUUAGGAUAAACUUGAAGCAUGGAAUGACUGAACAAGCCUCAAGCAUUGUUACUAAUAUUGUGACUUACUUUGUCAUCAACAAAAAUCCCUGAGGAAAAUUCACACGCCCGAUGGGAGCUAUCGGUUGAAAAUGAAUACUGUGGGCACAGACACAUGCACCUGGAGCUUCAGUAGGAAAGGUGAACUGGACUGUAGCUGGAUCUUCAGGAAAACAACAUAAAGAGACAAAGGCUCCAGCAGCCUGACUGAACUGAAAGAUACUUCUGUCAGACGUUCAGAGGAGUCAUUCCCAUCAGACCCUGGAUGUGGGACUCUUGUUCUUCACUAGCGUUCAACUAUUCUGACAGUGAAUAACUGACCAAACCCAUCCAUACCCCUCUUGGAAUCGUGCAACGAAGAGAGUGAAUUUCCCUGUAUGUGAGUGAAAUAGUGAACAAAAUAGAUUGCUUCUCAGCUCCUACUUAAAGCAGAUCACAAGCUCCUGUGACUUCAGCUCCAGAUGAUCAGAGACCCACUCCUGGCUUUUAUGGGCAGUGAGGCUCAUCCACACAUGAUGUCCCAAGCCCACACACACAUAAUGACCAAUUAUUGGACUUAAGAGUUUAACAAAACAAAUUACAGCAGCAACAAAAUUACCCAGAACACAUGAAGAUUGGAAGGAGCUUGUGGAGUUUUGGAUGGGGAUGGAAAAUGGGAGGCAGAUAAGAUAGUUCU